rnacentral:lncRNA from 1 species
GUCUGUUUCCCAGUGCACCCAACUUGUGAUAGAAGGUAUAUGUUCUGCUGAAAAAGAGAAAAAGGAAAAAAAAGAAUAAAAGCAGAGAGAGGCGCCCUGAAUUCCAUGCCGGGUCAUUACAGAGCCAGUGGCGGAGACUCUAUGAGACCCAGCCCCACUGGCUGCAGCCCCUUCGGAUGCAUCUGCGAGAGCAGCCUGGCCGUCACCCGCCGGCCUGGCCCGUGCUGUCAGCCGGCCAGAGCGUGUCUGAAUCGAGGAAAGCUGACUGGGGCUCGAUUCACACUGACUCGAGCCGCAAGAUCUGAGCAUCAUUACGAGCUGCCAUGGAGGCCCUUCACUACCUUAAACUUCACAACAAGCCUAUGAGGCUCCUCCAGGUAGCCGAGCCUCAGCCACCAGGGCCACAGACUUCUCUGCUGCCUUGAGGGACCUACGGGACUAGCAGGAGCUGCUCUUCCUCGUACGACUUCUACCCACCCAGGGAUAUCACUUGACCUCUCUGAGCCUGCUUCCUCCUGGAGACAACAGUGUAUACUCAGGGCUAUUGCGGGGAAUGACAAGGAAAAUGGAUGAAAAUGUGCUGGAGAAAUUCUGAGGCAUCAGUCAGAUGAAAGCCCUACCUCUCCCUCUCAAAUCAGAGCCUGUUUGGCGAAGACUUUUCAGGUGUGCCGACUGCCCCAAGCUGACCCAGUGCGGAUCCUAACUGGCCCCACCAGCAUCUUCCAUGCUCACCCAGCUGGCCCAUGUCUUGAAGAUGCCCUGGGCUCCCAGCUCUGCCACCCCAGCUUUCUGAGUCUCCAUGGAUCGGGAUCACUGGGGACCCAGCAGGAAGAAGUUGGAGAAGAUAGGAAGGCAGGACGGGACUGGAAUGAUUCUAGGAUGACCACCCCACUGGCCCCUGCAGCAGAAGGAGCCUCAGCCUGGGCCCUGUCUCUGCCAACGCCCCCUCCUGGCAGAAUGGGCAGCCUAUCUGGGUAAAGACCUGCCCAGACCCCACAGCCAAGGGCAGCCCCUCAGAGAUUCAGGCCAGGAGCGGCCUUUGUUCCCCACACCUGGAGCUCAGAGCUUGCUUAGCCUGCGGUGGAAGCUCUGGUUUAAUUAAGGAUCUUAGGAGAGAAUUCUCUCUUGUUAUUUUCUGAA